rfam:Bombyx mori DNA, contig: Bm_scaf4_contig4030, strain: p50T/Dazao, build 2, whole genome shotgun sequence.
UUAACUCAAAUUUGUAUGGAGUUGCAACGUUUGCCUACGGGUGCCGCUAGGGGCGCUGUUCCAACUGCAUACAAAUUUCAGUUC